rnacentral:rRNA from 1 species
GAUGAACGCUGGCGGCGUGCCUAAUACAUGCAAGUUGAGCGAAGCGGGGACGGGUGAGUAACACGUGGAUAACCUCCUAUAAGACUGGGAUAAAUUCGGGAAACCGGAGCUAAACCGGAUACUUACAGAUGGAUCCGCGCUGCAUUAGAUAGUUGGUAAGGUAACGGCUUACCAAGGCAACGAUGCAUAGCCGACCUGAGAGGGUAGUCAGCCACACUGGAACUGAGGCACGGUCCAGACUCCUACGGGAGGCCGCAGUAGGGAAUCUUCCGCAAUGGGCGGAAGCCUUACGGGGCAACGCCGCGUGAGUAAUAGAGGUCUGAGGAUCGUAAAACUCUAUUAUUAGGGAAGCAAUACCUAAUCAGAAAGCCGCGGCUGACUACGUGCCAGCAGCCGCGGUAGUAC